GCUGGGUGUGGUGGGGCACACCUGUAAUCCCAGCUACUGGGAAGGCUGAGGCAGAAGGAUCACAAGUUGGAGGCCAGCCUCAGCAAGUUAGUGAGACCCUGUCUUAA
rnacentral:sRNA from 1 species